AUGAUUACAAUGAGAGAGGACUCUAGUAGGGAACACCCAAUUCCAUCCGAAAAAUCUCAACACAACACAAUUCCCAAUUCCCAUCUAUAUCCAAACAAGAAAAUGAAAAGAAAAUAUAUAGGUCAGAACUUGAAGGUGCCGCCGCACCCUAUGGGUUUGGUUUUGGUAUCUCAGAUUCUGCCGCUCCUUCUUUCUCCUCUUCGUCUCUCCGUCCCUUCACUUUGA